AAUGAACGCUGGCGGCGUGCCUAAGACAUGCAAGUCGAACGCGAACGUUUCCUUCGGGAAACUAUUAGAGUGGCGCACGGGUGAGUAAGACUUAGAUAAUGUACCUCUUCGCUGGGGACAACCAGAGGAAACUUUGGCUAAUACCGAAUAUUCCCUGCUUUACUGCGGUUUAGCAGGGGAAAGCCGUAAGGCGCGAAGAGAGCAGUCUGAGUCCCAUUAGCUUGUUGGUAGGGUAAAGGCCUACCAAGGCGACGAUGGGUAGCUGGUCUAAGAGGAUGAUCAGCCACACUGGAACUGGAACACGGUCCAGACUCCUACGGGAGGCAGCAGUUAGGAAUCUUGCGCAAUGGGGGAAACCCUGACGCAGCAACGCCGCGUGAGUGAAGAAGGCCCUAGGGUUGUAAAACUCUUUUAGUAGGGAAGAAACAAAUGACGGUACCUACAGAAGAAGCACCGGCUAACUCCG
rnacentral:rRNA from 1 species